rnacentral:rRNA from 1 species
GAUGAACGCUGGCGGCGUGCCUAAUACAUGCCAGUCGAGCGAACGGACGAGAAGCUUGCUUCUCUGAUGUUAGCGGCGGACGGGUGAGUAACACGUGGAUAACCUACCUAUAAGACUGGGAUAACUUCGGGAAACCGGAGCUAAUACCGGAUGAUAUUUUGAACCGCAUGGUUCAAAAGUGAAAGACGGUCUUGCUGUCACUUAUAGAUGGAUCCGCGCUGCAUUAGCUAGUUGGUAAGGUAACGGCUUACCAAGGCAACGAUGCAUAGCCGGCCUGAGAGGGUGAUCGGCCACACUGGAACUGAGACACGGUCCAGACUCCUACGGGAGGCAGCAGUAGGGAAUCUUCCGCAAUGGGCGAAAGCCUGACGGAGCAACGCCGCGUGAGUGAUGAAGGUCUUCGGAUCGUAAAACUCUGUUAUUAGGGAAGAACAUAUGUGUAAGUAACUGUGCACAUCUUGACGGUACCUAAUCAGAAAGCCACGGCUAACUACGUG